rnacentral:rRNA from 1 species
CUAAGUGGCGGACGGGUGAGUAAUGUAUAGUUAAUCUGCCCUUUAGAGGGGGAUAACAGUUGGAAACGACUGCUAAUACCCCAUACUCCUUUUACAUUAAUUGUAAUUGGGAAACGUUUUUUCGCUAAAGGAUGAGACUAUAUGGUAUCAGGUAGUUGGUGGGGUAAGAGCCCACCAAGCCAAUGACGCCUAGCUGGUCCGAGAGGAUGAUCAGCCACACUGGGACUGAGACACGGCCCAG